rnacentral:misc_RNA from 1 species
AGAGGGAACCCGGUGGGAAUCCGGGACUGUCCCGCAGCGGUAUGCAGGAACGACCGCCGUCAUCAGCACUGGCCCGCAGGAAUCUGCGGCUGGGAAGCGACGGCCAGUAGGAGCACGGAUUGCGUGCGCGCCUGUGAGUCCGAAGACCU